rnacentral:lncRNA from 1 species
CUCACUUCCAGGCCAGCUGACCUUGCCUCCCCUGCUUCAGAGAAGUGCCUGCAAUCCUGAUGGGGAAUGUAGGCAUCUGCACCCUCGAAGUCCAGCUCUGACCUCAGUCCCUUCUGACACGGGACAGACUACGCCCAAGCAAGGUUUGAUGCCUAUUUCCACCAGAAGAGGAAGCUUGGGGUGUGACUGUGGGGAGGACUCCAUCCACCUCAUCACUGGACUGCAUGGGGAGGCAGCAGAGCGGGGUCCCCUCUGUGCUUCGACUACUGCUCCUGUGGCAGGAGGCUUUGGGUGGCUCACUACUGAACACAUGUGUAUGAUACUAAAGACGGUAUUAAAAUGGAGCGACGUUUAUUUCAUCUCUUGUUUACGAUUUCACUAGGACUCAGAAACGAGAUCGGGAAGCAGAAAUAUAGUGCAAUAGUGCAACAUCUCUGAAUCCUUUUAAUCUAGAGAAGGCAUUUCAUAUUUGGGGGCUAAGGUUUCCAGUCAGAUGAGGCAAACAGCAAGAGUAAGCAGUGUUACUUGCAGGUACUUUGGUUAAUGUUGAUUUAAAUUUUCAUGAAUGUGCUGGUGAACACUGUGACCAGGCUUUUGUAGAUGGCGAUGUGUUAUAGACGGUGCUCACUCCCAAGGGACAGCAAGUGAGCAGAGAUGUACUG